rnacentral:rRNA from 1 species
GUGUCAGCCGCCGCGGUAAUACGUAGGGAGCAAGCGUUGUCCGGAAUCAUUGGGCGUAAAGCGCGCGUAGGCGGCCUCAUAAGUCCGUUGUGAAAGUCAAAGGCUCAACCUUUGAAAGCCGAUGGAUACUGUGAGGCUAGAGUCCGGAAGAGGCGAGUGGAAUUCCUGGUGUAGCGGUGGAAUGCGCAGAUAUCAGGAGGAACACCAAUAGCGAAGGCAGCUCGCUGGGACGGUACUGACGCUAAGGCGCGAAAGCGUGGGGAGCGAACAGGAUUAGAAACCCUAGUAGUCC